CUANGACCUCAACUCUCACAAAUCUUAAUGCUGAUGUUUCACAGAUGAAACAAACCAAGAUUAUAGUGUUUAAAACUGUGGCUCAGUUUGUUGUUCUCGGUUGCUCCUGGGUUCUGGGUUUCUUCACAAAAGACAGUAAGGUGCUGGAGAUCCUCUUCCUGAUCUUGAAUUCCCAGCAGGGAACCUUCAUCUUCCUGAUCUACUGUGUCCUCAAUAAUGAGGUCAGGCAGCAGUAUAGGAAGUUCUUCAGAUGUCUUUGCUGUGCCAAACAACACUGAAUACUACAACAUCAAUGAUGGAGAUUUAAAUGAAAAUGAUAAAUGUAAAUGAUGGCGAACUAAAAAGAAAAGAACUCCAGAAAACUAUUUCAUGUUUGCAUGGUAAUAAGAAAGAAAGUAACUGUAUGGAAUCAUCUAGUUGUGCAAGAUUAACAAUUUCAUAACUUUACAAUUAUAUCUUUGUGGAUCUCGGACAGCUCCAGCUGAAUGACUUCAUGACGUAUUUUGUGAUGAUCCAUUUUACAGUAGAUUACUUUAAAUAUUGUACUGUAGUAUAAUAUAAAAAGUCAAGUAUCAAAAGUGUUUUUUUUUUUAUUUAGGGAAGGUUUUGUUGAUAUAGUGAAUGUACAUAUAAUGAACAGCUAACAUCUUCAGUGUAAAAAUAAUCUACUGCUUGGCUUGAACUUUUUGCUUUUGUUCAGGUCACAUUUGUUUUUUUUUUCCUGUAAUAUUUGAAUGCAUUUAUGUUAGAAAAUAUGUUAAUAAACAAUGUUGAAGAGAUGGAGCA
ensembl:lncRNA